rnacentral:lncRNA from 1 species
AUAGAAACUGGCCUCAAGAAGUUUGUAGUCUGAGACAUAAUAAUAUUUAAACGCCCGGCUAAUUUUUUGUAUUUUUAGUAGAGAUGGGGUUUCACCGUGUUAGCCAGGAUGGUCUCGAUCUCCUGACCUCGUGAUCCACCCGCCUCGGCCUCCCAAAGUGCUGGGAUUACAGGCAUAAGCCACCGCGCCCAGCCCUUAUUUUUUAAUGGUCACUCUAGGGAUUACAGUACUCAUCCUUUCUACAGAUUACUUAAAGUUAACAUUUUAAUAAUUUGUGGGAAAUGUAGAAACAUUGGAACUGCAUGGGUCCUUUCAAAGCUCUUGGCCCGCUCUUAAUGUUGUCAUACACACUGCAUCUACACACAUUGUAAAUUGUUUUCAAAAGUGGCUGUACCAUUACACAUUUUCAUCAGUAAUGUAUGAAAAUUCCUGUUGCUCCCCAUUCUUCGGUAUGGACAUAAAAAAUAAGUGGGUUCAAAUAAAUGUGUAGUGGUAUCUCACUGUGUAUCAAUUUUAAUUUAUCUAAUAACUUAUGAUGUCUCUGUAUUGUCUUUUGACUUAACAGUGUGUUUCAAAGAGC